CCUACGGGCGGCAGCAGUGGGGAAUAUUGGGCAAUGGGCGCAAGCCUGACCCAGCAACGCCGCGUGAAGGAAGAAGGCUUUCGGGUUGUAAACUUCUUUUGUCAGGGACGAAGCAAGUGACGGUACCUGAGGAAUAAGCCACGGCUAACUACGUGCCAGCAGCCGCGGUAAUACGUAGGUGGCAAGCGUUAUCCGGAUUUAAUGGGUGUAAAGGGCGUGUAGGCGGGAAUGCAAGUCAGAUGUGAAAACUAUGGGCUCAACCCGUAGCCUGCAUUUGAAACUGUAUUUCUUGAGUGCUGGAGAGGCAGGCGGAAUUCGUGGUGUAGCGGUGAAAUGCGUAGAUAUCAGGAGGAACACCGGUGGCGAAGGCAGAUUGCUGGACAGCAACUGACGCUGAGGCGCGAAAGCGUGGGGAGCAAACAGGAUUAGAUACCCUGGUAGUC
rnacentral:rRNA from 1 species